CAAGAGCGUAUAUUAAAGUUGUUGCAGUUAAAAAGCUCGUAGUUGGAUUUCUGGUACAAUGCGCCUGGCCCGCGACCGUCAGGUCUGUGAGUGCCGGUGCGCGUUUGCCAUCCUUCUAGAAAACGUUUCUACCCUUCACUGGGCCGGAUUCGCGAUCUAGAUCUUUUACUUUGAAAAAUUAGAGUGUUUAAAGCAGGCUUUUGCUAUGAAUACAUUAGCAUGGAAUAAUGGAAUAGGACUUUGGUGCUAUUUUGUUGGUUUAUGGGACCGAAGUAAUGAUUAACAGGGACAGUUGGGGCCGUUUAUAUUUCGUUGUCAGAGGUGAAAUUCUUGGAUUUACGAAAGAUAAACUUCUGCGAAAGCAUUCGGCAAGGAUGUUUUCAUUGAUCAAGAACGAAAGUUAGGGGAUCGAAGACGAUCAGAUACCGU
rnacentral:rRNA from 1 species